rnacentral:rRNA from 1 species
GGCAGGGCCUAACACAUGCAAGUCGAGCGGAUGAAGGGAGCUUGCUUCCUGGAUUCAGCGGCGGACGGGUGAGUAAUGCCUAGGAAUCUGCCUGGUAGUGGGGGAUAACGUCCGGAAACGGGCGCUAAUACCGCAUACGUCCUGAGGAAGAAAGUGGGGGAUCUUCAGACCUCACGCUAUCAGAUGAGCCUAGGUCGGAUUAGCUAGUUGGUGGGGUAAAGGCCUACCAAGGCGACGAUCCGUAACUGGUCUGAGAGGAUGAUCAGUCACACUGGAACUGAGACACGGUCCAGACUCCUACGGGAGGCAGCAGUGGGGAAUAUUGGACAAUGGGCGAAAGCCUGAUCCAGCCAUGCCGCGUGUGUGAAGAAGGUCUUCGGAUUGUAAAGCACUUUAAGUUGGGAGGAAGGGCAGUAAGUUAAUACCUUACUGUUUUGACGUUACCAACAGAAUAAGCACCGGCUAACUUCGUGCCAGCAGCCGCGGUAAUACGAAGGGUGCAAGCGUUAAUCGGAAUUACUGGGCGUAAAGCGCGCGUAGGUGGUUCAGCAAGUUGGAUGUGAAAUCCCCGGGCUCAACCUGGGAACUGCAUCCAAAACUACUGAGCUAGAGUACGGUAGAGGGUGGUGGAAUUUCCUGUGUAGCGGUGAAAUGCGUAGAUAUAGGAAGGAACACCAGUGGCGAAGGCGACCACCUGGACUGAUACUGACACUGAGGUGCGAAAGCGUGGGGAGCAAACAGGAUUAGAUACCCUGGUAGUCCACGCCGUAAACGAUGUCGACUAGCCGUUGGGAUCCUUGAGAUCUUAGUGGCGCAGCUAACGCGAUAAGUCGACCGCCUGGGGAGUACGGCCGCAAGGUAAAACUCAAAGGAAUUGACGGC